rnacentral:pre_miRNA from 1 species
AUUGUACUCCAUCCGUUCGGAAAUACUUGUCUCGGAUAUGGAUAUAUCUAGAACUAAAAUACGUCUAGAUACAUCCAUUUUUACGACAAGUAAUUCCGAACGAAGGGAGUAACAA